UGGGGAAUAUUGGACAAUGGGCGCAAGCCUGAUCCAGCCAUACCGCGUGGGUGAAGAAGGCCUUCGGGUUGUAAAGCCCUUUUGUUGGGAAAGAAAAGCAGUCGGUUAAUACCCGAUUGUUCUGACGGUACCCAAAGAAUAAGCACCGGCUAACUUCGUGCCAGCAGCCGCGGUAAUACGAAGGGUGCAAGCGUUACUCGGAAUUACUGGGCGUAAAGCGUGCGUAGGUGGUUGUUUAAGUCUGUCGUGAAAGCCCUGGGCUCAACCUGGGAAUUGCGAUGGAAACUGGGCGACUAGAGUGUGGCAGAGGGUAGUGGAAUUCCUGGUGUAGCAGUGAAAUGCGUAGAGAUCAGGAGGAACAUCCGUGGCGAAGGCGACUGCCUGGGCCAACACUGACACUGAGGCACGAAAGCGUGGGGAGCAAACAGGAUUAGAUACCCUGGUAGUCCACGCCCUAAACGAUGCGAACUGGAUGUUGGGUGCAAUUUGGCACGCAGUAUCGAAGCUAACGCGUUAAGUUCGCCGCCUGGGGAGUACGGUCGCAAGACUGAAACUCAAAUGAAUUGACGGGGGUCAUAGCUG
rnacentral:rRNA from 1 species